rnacentral:misc_RNA from 1 species
GAAAUGCGAUAAGUAAUGCGAAUUGCAGAAUUCAGUGAAUCAUCGAAUCUUUGAACGCACAUUGCGCCCGCUAGUAUUCUGGCGGGCAUGCCUGUCUGAGCGUCAUUUCAACCCUCGUCCCCCCGGCACUUGCGGCCGGCGGGGGCGGUGUUGGGGAUCGGCACCCUUCUGUGUGCCGGCCCCGAAAUACAGUGGCGACCACGCCGUAGCCUCCUCUGCGUAGUAGUAAAAAACUCGCGGGCGGAGAGCGGUGCGGUCCGCCGUGAAACACCCAACUUUACAAGGUUGACCUCAGAUCAGGUAGGAAUACCCGCUGAACUUAA